rnacentral:lncRNA from 1 species
AACAAAGCUGAAUAUGAUUAAUAGUCCUAGGAUUAAUAGUCCUAUGAUUAAUAGUCCUUAAAUCAAUAGGACUAAAUGCGCUUAAUCAAUAGUCCCAAGGAUUAUUGCAUCUGACCAAUUUUUCCAAAUCUUCCCGCUAAUGCCCGCAACUUGUUUCCCGCCAAUCAGGCAUGGGGAGCUACUCCGGAAUUAAUGAUAAUUUUUUGGUGCAUACAAAUAUCCAUAAGUUGUUGAGGGACAUACAUGUUAUUUAUCCUAAAAGUGCAAUGGACAUGGUGAAACUUCUUCUACCAGGUUCCGGUCACUACUUUUAAUAACCUUUCUUGAUCCAGGCCCACAGUGCUGUGUUGUCCUAAUUUCCUUUGCUCUUCCCACCGUGCAUAGGCAGGUCAGCUUUCCACCAUAGACGGAACCACUAUUUUGGUACCAUGCUACUUGGUACAAGUUUAUGAGCGCCGUCAUUUUUCAGAUGAUACGUAACAUACAUGUACGACGAAAAAGGACAUCAUAAAAUUGAUUUAUUUCUGUACAGAGCCCGAAGCAAAGAUCUAAUCGUAGAGGUAUGGUCGACCAUAGUCCUGCAAGUAUCAUAAUCUCAAUGAGAAAACAGCUUCAAGUCUAUUCUUAAGGGAUCAUAGAUUGUGGAAGCGGAGGCCAUGAAGUGCAGAAAUUUGUACUUUGCUCCAAGAGGGGGGUUGGCAAUAAUAUUUUGUAGAACUGGAAGCGCCUUUCGUUGGUGCCAAUUUUAGAGUAUAAGAACUUAAAAAGACUAAAACCGUUUUGAGUUCCACGUGAACUACUGGUGGUUAUUCUGAUCCUCUUCGGUCUCAUUAGGGGUACCAAAACCGCUUUCUGCAGUUUCCUGGGCAUCAUCAGACAGGGCGCGAACCACAAUUUCUGAAUUUCCUGAUACAUCACUGAUAGCAUUAGGACCAGCAGAACCAUCUCCCAGCUGCAGCAGCCUCAACAUGAUAUUGCGCAUGGAAUUCGGUCUCCUGACCUCAAACUUAUGUUCUGGGGUGUGCUGUUGAUUAAAGCGACCAGGAAGCUUCGAGCAGGUAUUAUAACAAUCUCCACAUAGGUCAUAUCCUAUUAAUUCCGUGCAGUCUUUGCAUCUGUAUCUGUCCCCAAUUAUUGGGUACACCUGAAAGGAUAAGUUCAAGCAUCAACAUAAUCCAUAUUUUGUCAGUCACAGAGCUCCAAAUUGCCAUAAUAUUCGAGGCCAAUGCACUAUGCAUUUAGCAUCAAAGACAUGUCGGGUGAUUCUCAGAACAGCCCUAUAACUACUGCAUCGUGCUUCUGUCAUCAAAAUAAAGCUCUAUCGAAAUUGAGAGGCAACUGUUAUUUGGCAUAGUUUUGCAUAUUUUGUCAAAUUCGUAGAGGCAAUUCCAACUACUUUUGUGUAUUAAACAAGAAAACUAACAACUAAUGUGUAUCAAAGGCAAGAACUAUUAGUUUCUUUAGGUGAGGAAGAAAGAAGAUUACUUCUGCCAAAAGAGAAAUAUAUUUUAAGAAAAUGUAUCUUUACAAUAAUGGAGUCCCUAGGUUGCUAACAUAGGCCAGGACUGACAAUUGUACAAUUAUAAAUGGCCAGAUAGGUACAUACCCCACAGGAAUCACAACCUGCUCCAAUGUGGACUUUAUGGUCACCCCACCAUGAGAAUGCAUUCUCCCCCGAUGAAGUUAACAAGUCAGAAUUCUCUUUAGCAGGUUCUGAUGAACCUGAAAUGCAUGCUGAUAUUAUCAAAAUUUGCAGACAACAUACCAAAAUACUCAGUGCAGCACAAAGACCUUAGAAAUUUCAAGCUUUGUGGGUAAAUCAUCAAAAUACUCGGUGCAGCACAAAUACAUCAGGCAAUGAAUGCCACUGAUAAUUACUAAAGAAGUAUAAAAAGCACAGACAGAAACAGCAACAUAGAAAGAAAAUGGAAUGCUAAACAGAAAGUUUUGGUGAAUUUUGCCCCAAAUAAAACAGAUCAGAAGCUUUUUGGCCAUUCAGCACCACUUUUUCAACUUCAGGAUUGUAAAACUAGUUACAUUGGAAAAAACAAUAACUGACAAAUCCGCAUCUUCAGAAAUAGAUCACCAGGCACUAUCUAAUCAUAGCCAGUUAGUAAACGAGAAACAACCCUUCUCCUUUACUUUCUCUAUAAUCCUCACCUCUCAUUUCCACUGACAGCAAAUCAAACAAGCCAGGAGCACUUUAACAGCUUAGAGCUUAUGGAGUUUUUUGGAUAGGGAGAUUAGACGAAGUACAUAGAGCAAAAUGAUCGGGAUAAAACUACUCAACAGUGUGUUUAUGAUCAGGACAUAAAACAAGGAAAAAAAAAUUUAUCAGGAGCAUACAUGUGCUUAGAUUUUCUCGCUGAGAACAGGACUGCUUAAGCUGAAUAAUACUUCUUCUUAGUGCAUAGUCCGCCGGAAAUUGUUCCUUGAGAAAAUUAUCAAAUUCCAAGCAGACUUUUGGAGUUUGUCCUGGAUGUCUGCUUUCACACUUUUGGCACUUGACUGUCUCAUUGGUUUGGGUAACAAUGCAACUUUCACAAUAAGCUGACAAAAUUCAGAGGAGACAGAAACAACAAACUGAGGUAAGUAGCUAAUGGAGCAGGAGUUGAGACACAUGUUACAAAUGGGAAGACUUAAAUGGGCACAGAUUCUAUUCCAUCCUACCAUCACUGCACCUAUACGAGGAAAUAAUGAUGAUACAUACCAUGGCCACAAUUAAGAACAACAGGAUGAUAGAGGAGUUGAUUGCACAAAGUGCACAGUGCGUCAUCAACUGAAAUUGGUUGGCGGGUUCCAUUGGCAAUCCCUUGGUGCAGUUUGUCACCGCGGUCAACAAUGGAACUAGUUGCUUCAAUAUCUCCCACAGCCAUUUUUAGAUUUUCUUGAUCAAUUAAUCCUGAUUCUGGUUGCUCCAUAUUAAACAUAACUUUGCUGUUGCCGCUACAACUUGGAUCUUUGGACAAGUCCAAUGAAGAAAUUUCAGAUCUUUGAGAACUAUCUGUGUGAUUUAAUUCUUGUUCAGUUUGUGGCACGCGUACAGGACCAUUAAACUGUGGUGAGAAGCAGUCCUGUUCCUUUUCAUAUUCUGGAAUAUGCAAAAUCAUUAAUUUUGUUAAACCACAUUACUUCAAUAAUAAUAACAACCCCAAUUAAAGCCAGCCACAACAAACUUGACCUCGGAUUUGAAUCUCCCUUCUCUGAUAUGCAACAGGAUACAUCUUGAAGAGUAAGAAGUGCAGCAUUUGGCAAAUAGUGGGAAAAUGAUGAUAAGGAUGUCUGCAGCGAGGACAAUGAGACUCGCGUAGACCACUCAUGGACUUCUGAACACACCAGAAACAGGAAAUGUGGCCACACACUGCAAAUAGAGAAAAGAGCCAUAAGACAGGACAAAGGAUAACAGCAAUUGCACCAUGAGAGCAACAUCUCACCCAGAACAACAGGCUUGUAGAGAAGCUGCCUGCACAAAGAAUUAAUGCCAAAUCAUAAGAAAGGCGGUGGCAACCCAAAAAAAAAAUGUAAGAAAGGUCUGUCAAACAAUAUAGUCUAGCGUGCACUAUAAAAUACACAUUUUACAAUGCGAUCUUCUACUGGAACUUCGCCAGUAGCAGUCACUAGCAUUAUAUUCCAAGUACCAUAUUUCUCUCUCGAUGAUAAUCAGAAGACAAAUUGACAUUUGAGAGGCUUAAAUUGUAAGUUUCCGUUUGAGAAAUGCAGAACCAGAUGACAGAAAAUUAGCAAGACUUAAUACGGGCUCACUGUUCUAAAUGCAACCAUGAUGAAUUUCUGAAACAACUAAUUCAUACCAACCACAAGAAAAAUAGAAGCCUUUUUCCUUUUUUUUUUUUUAGAAAAAUUGGUCUUUUGACAAUAAUCCAGUCCAAAUACAUCGUCCAUUAUUAUGCUGUACAAUAAUUCGUGCUUAUAAUAUUUAAUUUGAAUGUUUCAGUUUCAUUACCAAACUAACCUACCAAAAGAGGGGGAGAAAAAGAAAAGGAAAAACAAAGACACAGCAAGGAUGAAAUUUGGCCGACAUUUCCCUCUCUUUGUAAACAUCAGAUAAUAGCAUAUAAAUCCUGAGAUAACCAAUUCCUCCGCAAAUUCGAGUAAUUAAUAAUCCUCGCCAAGAAAAAAAGAUUUCCAGUAAUAAUUCUUUUCAUAGAAAACAGUCCAGCUCAUAAUUGCACGAAACAAAAUGCAGGCAACAGAUAAAUAUCAGAAUGUUGAGUCAGAGAAGAAUUACAAGCAAACGCAGCAGAUAAAAGAUUCGGAAAUCUUCUCAGAUGAAUCAUCGUGAUAGUCUAAUCCGUCCUCUAGUAACUUCUUAACCUUGUCUGAAAUUUCCAUUUCUUCACCAGAAAAUCGGAGACCUAUUUUCGAUGUCCGGGAGGGAUGGAGCGAGAGAGAGACAUAGAGCGGACGCCCAAAGGAGAAAGGCAGACAGCCGUGAAUGGUGGCUUUCUGCAAUGGCGUGGCGGUGCUGGUUAGGAGGCCCAAUUUCUACAGUCACUGGCCCAAUGACCUUGCGUUGGUGGAGCAUUUGCAGUCCAUAUCCUUUCUUUCUGACAUUUUUUUACAGAAGUAAGAAUUUACGUAAAUAAACCUAAUCUCUACGGUAACUUCAAAAGCCGGUAACUUUUAAAGUCCUGUGAGGGACUUAUCUAUCCAAACCCUUCCCCCCAAUACCGAUGUGGAAUAGAAAACCCCACAGGUGCCCUGCUGCUAAGAGAUAAAGACCCCCCAAGCCCCUGAGAAUGAGUUUUCUUUCUGACAUUUUCUUUCAGAAGUAAGAAUUUACGUAAAUAAACAUAAUCCCCAUAGUAAUUUCAAAAGCCGACAACUUUUGAAGUCCUGUGAGGGACUUAUCUGCCCAAACCCUUCCCCCCAAUAUCGAUGUGAGAUAGAAAACCCCACAGGAUUUGCAGUCCAUAUCCAAACUCGAAUAUUUUGACAUUCCCUGACUCGGCAAUUGAAGUCUCGCCAUUCGGAGAAGCGAAAAUGAACUUUUGAAUCGCACCAAAAAAGAAAAAGAACUUUGAAAGCGAUAUCUCUUUUAUAAACUUCAAACGUCUAAUGAGCUUGAUAUUUUAGAAAAGCCCAAAAAAUGGAACACUUAAAUAAAUUUGUUAUUUUAUGAAAAAAGGUAAAUAGAUAAUAGCACAAUAACUCCAUUAGUAGCUUUUGCCCUAAAACUUAUUGACCUUAUCCCUAAGAUGGAAUUCGAGAAUAUAUAUAUAUAUAUAUAUAGCACAUACGUUCUAGACGCAUAAAUGUGCAGCUAUUCUAAAUUUCUAAUAUAUCUUAAAACUUAAAACAAUUAUCCUGUGCAGAAUCGAUUUGGUAAUUAAUACAAAUAUUUUGCUUACACGCCUUUAUCAGUUUGAAAAUUCGAUGAAUAUGGUAGGUGUUUAUUUUCAGGGAUAAUAAUGGGUAGAAUAAAAUUCGAUGACAGUAAAUAUUCGAUCUGAUGGUUUAAUCUGAUUAGAUGAGUAAUCCGUUAGAAUUUGAUAUUGAUAUGCUUUUGACCUUGCAGGCAAAAACAGUAAGUUCUACGAGGCUUUCAACAAAGGGAAUGUACAACUAUGCCUGGCAAUUGGGCUGGUAGGGUGGGUUUUGGGCGAGUUAAUGUUGGGUUUUCAUUUAAAUGGGGGUUAUAUCCAAUCCGCCCAACUUUAGAUUGGAUUAAUCUUGAGUUGGAUCAUAUUGGGUUGUUUUAAACCCAUGACCCAAAUAUGACCCAAUAUAUUAAAUAAUAGAUUUUGAUACAUAAACUCUCUCAAAUAUAUUUUCAUAUACAAAAAAAAAAAUUCACACACAUAAAUAUAUUUUCACACACUAAAACACUUACAGAUGCAAUCACACACUCACUUUUUAAGUUCUUUUGAAAUACAUUAUUUUUACACAUACAAACACACUAAAAUACACACUAAUAUGCUUUCAUAAAUACACACACAUACUAACUGUUUAAACUACUUGCAUCCAAUCACAUUUUAAAGAAAGUUAUAAACUGAAAUUUUGACCCAUAAAUGAAUCUUGUAAAUAAACUAUAGUCUCUCAUAUUUGUAAAAUAAUUUGUUCAACGAAAUUACUUAUUUAACACUAAAUUAUUAUUUUAUAAUGUGUAUAAAAAUAAAAAAUAUAUAUAUAUAUAUGUGUGAGGCAGGUCGGGUAACGCGGGUUUUUAAUUAUAUGAUCCCAGUUGAGGAAUUGUAAUUACUAACCACAAAAAUCAAUGUUUGACUAAUGAAAUCCUGCUAAUUAAUAUAAUCAAAACUCCUAUUCAUCCACUGCUGCGCGGAGCAGAAGCAGCAGAAAACGAUAUGACAAUCGGGCAUAUAGGCCAAACGGAGGAAAAAAAAAAAAACGCUUUCUCGAGAAUAUGAGGUAUAAAGCUGAGAUAAUAACCAGCUCAUUAACAAGAAAAUCUAUUAAGAGAGCUCAAUGAGUUACUAUUUUGGUACCAUGCUACUUGGUACAAGUUUAUGAGCGCCGUCAUUUUUCAGAUGAUACAUAACAUACAUGUACGACGAAAAAGGACAUCAUAAAAUUGAUUUAUUUCUGUACACAGCCCGAAGCAAAGAUCUAAUCGUAGAGGUAUGGUCGACGAUAGUCCUGCAAGUAUCACAAUCUCAAUGAGAAAACAGCAUCAAGUCUAUUCUUAAGGGAUCAUAGAUUGUGGAAGCGGAGGCCUUG